rnacentral:rRNA from 1 species
GAAAGUAAAUAAGGGCGUAUGGGGAAUGCCUAGGCUCUUGGAGGCGAAGAAAGACGUGGUAAGCUGCGAAAAGCUCCGGGGAUUUGCAAACAAGAUUUGAUCCGGAGAUUUCUGAAUGGGACAACCCGUCAGGUAGAAGACCUGACACAUCGCAAGAUGGGCCAACCCUCUGAACUGAAACAUCUUAGUAGGAGGAGGAAAAGAAAGAAACAUCGAUUUCCUGAGUAGCGGCGAGCGAAAGGGAAAAAGCCUAAACCGGUAUUGUUACGGCAAUGCCGGGGUUGUAGGACUGCAACAUUCAAGUAACAAUGAACUGGAAGGAUCUGGAAAGUUCGUCCAUAGAGGGUGAAAGGCCCGUACAGGUAAGUUCGUUAUGCGAUAGCAGUAUCCUGAGUAGGGCGGGACACGAGGAAUCCUGUCUGAAUCUGCCGGGACCACCCGGUAAGGCUAAAUACUCCCAAGAGACCGAUAGUGAACCAGUACCGUGAGGGAAAGGUGAAAAGAACCCCGAACAGGGGAGUGAAAUAGAACCUGAAACCAUACGCUUACAACCGGUCGGAGCAGCUUCGUGCUGUGACGGCGUGCCUAUUGAAUAAUGAGCCUACGAGUUACUAAUCACUGGCGAGGUUAAGUGCACGGAUGCACGGAGCCGAAGCGAAAGCGAGUCUGAACAGGGCGGCUAGUCAGUGGUUGUAGACGCGAAACCUUGCGAUCUACCCUUGAGCAGGUUGAAGGUUGGGUAAAACCAACUGGAGGACCGAACGAAUAAGCGUUGAAAAGCUUCUCGAUGACUUGAGGGUAGGGGUGAAAGGCUAAUCAAGCUGGGAAAUAGCUCGUACUCCCCGAAAUGCCUUUAGGGGCAGCGUUGUAAUUAAGAGUCUACUGGAGGUAGAGCUACUGAUUGGAUGCGGGGGCUUCACCGCCUACCAAAUCCUGACAAACUCCGAAUGCCAGUAGUAUGAUUUACAGCAGUGAGCGACCGGGUGCUAAUGUCCGGUUACGAGAGUGGAACAACACAGACCAGCAACUAAGGUCCCGAAGAGUAUACUAAGUUGAUCUAACGAUGUUUUGCUGCAGAGACAGCUAGGAUGUUAGCUUGGAAGCAGCUAUUCAUUCAAAGAGUGCGUAACAGCUCACUAGUCGAGCGGCAAAGCGUGGAUAAUAAACGGGCAUCAAGUAUACCACCGAAGUUCUGGGCACGAGAGUGCGGUAGGGGAGCAUUCCAUUGACGUCGAAGCCAUUCCGCGAGGAUAGGUGGAGUUUAUGGAAAAGCAAAUGUAGGCAUGAGUAACGAUAAUGCGGGAGAGUAACCCGCACACCGCAAGACCAAGGUUUCCUGAUCAACGCUAAUCGGAUCAGGGUUAGUCGGGUCCUAAGGGUAAGCCGAACGGUGAUCUCGAUGGACAAUCGGUUAAUAUUCCGAUACUAACAUAUACCUCGAUGGAGAGACGAAGGAACGUAAGUGACGCCGCCUGACGGAAUAGGUGGUUAAAGGGCGUAGGUAUAGGGACAGAUUAAGAGUUAGUCCUUGCUGAAAUCCGACAGUACGGAGCGGCUACGGCCAAUCUGAUAGUUCACCCAAGUCGACUUCCGAGAAAAUCUUCUAAGUUAUAGUAUAUGUUACCCGUACCGUAAACCGACACAGGUGGUCGAGGAGAGUAUCCUAAGGUGCUCGAGUGAAUCACGGUUAAGGAACUAGGCAAAUUAACCCCGUAACUUCGGGAAAAGGGGUCCCUACGCGAGUAGGGCGCAGCGAAGAGGUCCAGGCGACUGUUUAUCAAAAACACAGGGCUCUGCAAAUUCGAAAGAAGACGUAUAGGGCCUGACACCUGCCCGGUGCUGGAAGGUUAAGAGGGGAUGUCAUCGCAAGAGAAGCAUUGAAUCGAAGCCCCAGUAAACGGCGGCCGUAACUAUAACGGUCCUAAGGUAGCGAAAUUCCUUGUCGGGUAAGUUCCGACCUGCACGAAUGGUGUAACGAUCUGGACACUGUCUCAACCGUGAGCUCGG